UAGGGAGACAGCUUGUUGGUAAACACA
rnacentral:piRNA from 1 species